UUCUGUUAUGAUGAACAAAUCGAAUUGUUUCUCCUGAGAUGCUAUAUGAGGGAAAUGUUUGGAGACCUGAACUGAAGGGGA